GGGGCUGUUCGGUUUGGGAGAAGAAGCUGGAAAUGUGCAAACAAAAGGGGGGUCUUUUCGUGUCUUCUCUGGUGGUCUUUUUGACCAAGAAAAUGGGAAAGCUUUGGGCGGCUUGUGGGUUUUAUUUCUCUCCGGUUGUCUUUCUCCAAGCCAAGGGAGGAGGUCUGUGGCUUUUUCCUUUUCUUUUUUUUUUGCAGAGGGGGAAUCGGUUGGAAGGAGAAAAUGGGGGACCGGCUUCUGUGUGGCAGGUCUUGGCCGGGUGACUUUUAGUGCUCCCUAGUUCUUGGUGUUGAAGACCACCGGCUUGUUUUUGUUCCAGGAGAGGGAGAUUUUUUUUUUUUGUGGAAAAUGGGGGAGAGGCUGUGAGGCCGGUUUUUAUGAGGGGAAAGAGAAGAAAAAUUAAUUACAAAGGGGCUGUCUUCGUUUUGCAUGGGGCCAGGGAGAGUGGGCAGAUGGUCAGGGGGAGCGUAUGUGGUCGGCUGGAAAUAAGGGAAAGAAGACCUGGGUGGGGCUGAGCUGCUAAUUUUCAGCCGAAAGAGAGGGGUUAAAUAAUGGUCUUGGGCCAGGGGGAACGGCUAGUUUCGGGUGAAGAGAAAAAAGAAAAAUUCUUAGGUUGCCCCUCCUUCCAAAAUUCAAAAUUCCUUAUACAUAGGCAAAAAUAUUGUUUCGGCCUCAAAAUUGGUCCCUUAAUUUUCUUUUUUUUGUAAAAUUUGAUUUUUCUUGUUUUUUUGUAUUUUUUUGAAAACGAGCAAUAUCAACGUCGACUCAAAUACGGAAAAUCAAUUAAUUUGAAAAUGACGCGUGAAAAGUCGAACGCAUUCGAAAGACCCUUAAAAAUUUAAUUUUUUUUUAAACGACGUUGAAAAUGCUAAAAUGACGAAAAAACAUAUUUUUUUGGAUUUUCUUUGUUUUUCUCUAUUUUUGGAUUUUUUGAAAAUAUAUCAAAAACAUGGGUCAAAAAUUGGGUAGCAACAGAUGCCCCCUCUUUACAAUGCUUACGAAGCAAAAAUCCUCGAUGUUUUGCAUAGUAAGCUUUGUAAAGAAAAACUUAUCUUUCUAUUUGCUCAAUAUCCACUUCAUCAGCAAUCUUCCUUUUUUUUUUUUUUUUAUUAUCCUGAGAUCCCAUCUGGCGACCUCCUUUAACCAAAACCAAAGAAUGUGUGUAACUCGGUCAACCUGAAAUCCCAUAUGGAGAUUCCCUUUAACCAAAGCUACAUGAGAUCCCAUCUGGCGACCUCAUUCCUGGAACAAAAGAAUGUGUAAAAAGCGGUCUCAUUAUAAUGGGUGACCUACCCAAGUGGAAAGGGGGAAGAGUGGUCUCAUUCUUUGGGUGACCUAUCCAGGGGGAAGAAUGGCCUCAUUCUUAUGGGUGACCUACCCAGGUAAAAAAAAGAUGGAGAAUGGUCUCAUUCUUUGGGUGACCUACCCAGAAAAAAUGGUGGUCUCAUUGUGAUGGGUGACCUACCCAAGUGGAAAGGAGGAAGAGUGGUCACAUUCUUUGGGUGACCUACCCAGGGGGAAGAAUGACCUCAUUCUUAUGGGUGACCUACCCAGGUAAAAAAAAAUAGAGAAUGGUCUCAUUCUUUGGGUGACCUACCCAGAAAAAAUGGUGGUCUCAUUGUGAUGGGUGACCUACCCAAGUGGAAAAAGGAAGAGUGGUCUCAUUCUUUGGGUGACCUACCCAGGGGGAGGAAUGGCCUCAUUCUUAUGGGUGACCUACCCAGGUAAAAACAAAAAUGGAGAAUGGUCUCAUUCUUUGGGUGACCUACCCAGAAAAAUGGUGGUCUCAUUGUGAUGGGUGACCUACCCAAGUGGAAAAAGGAAGAGUGGUCUCAUUCUUUGGGUGACCUACCCAGGGGGAGGAAUGGCCUCAUUCUUAUGGGUGACCUACCCAGGUAAAAAAAAAUGGAGAAUGGUCUCAUUCUUUGGGUGACCUACCCAGAAAAAUGGUGGUCUCAUUAUGAUGGGUGACCUACCCAAGUGGAAAAAGGAAGAGUGGUCUCAUUCUUUGGGUGACCUACCUAGGGGGAGGAAUGACCUCAUUCUUAUGGGUGACCUACCCAGGUAAAAAAAAAAUGGAGAAUGGUCUCAUUCUUUGGGUGACCUACCCAGAAAAAUGGUGGUCUCAUUGUAAUGGGUGACCAACCCAGAUGGAAAAAAUAUGAUGAAGUGGUCUCGUUGUGAUGGGCGACCUACCCAAAUAGAAAGAAUGUGAAGUGCGGUCUCAUUGUAAUGGGUGACCUACCCAAAAAUGGAAAAAAUAUGAAGCGUGGUCUCAUUGUAAUGGGUGACCUACCCAGAUGGAAAAAAUAUGAUGAAGUGGUCUCGUUGUGAUGGGCGACCUACCCAAAUAGAAAGAAUAUGAAGUGCGGUCUCAUUGUAAUGGGUGACCUACCCAGAUGGAAAAAAAAAUGAUGAAGUGGUCUCGUUGUGAUGGGCGACCUACCCAAAUAGAAAGAAUGUGAAGUGCGAUCUCAUUGUAAUGGGUGACCUACCCAGAUGAAAAAAAUGUGGAAAAUUGCGGUCUCAUUGUAAUGGGUGACCUACCUAGAUGGAAAAAAUGUGAUAUGACAAGUGUGAAAAAAUAGGACUUACCUGACGAAGUCCUGAGGGGAUGACAUAGGAAGGGCUGGAAAACUUGGUGCUUCCUGAUAAUUCCCGAUCAUAGGGUUUGAAAACUCGGUGUUUCCUGACUGCAAGGGUUGAAAACUCGAGGCUUCCCGGUUGCAAGGUUGAUCUAUUCAUUUCUUUGGGAUUUUCCUAAUGGUAAGGUUUAUCCCAUCGUCCUUUUAUUCCAUGAUCAAAACCGAUUCUUUAUUAUCAUCACCACAAUGCUUCUUUCUCUUUUCACCAUCUUGCUGGACCUCAUUAAGGAUUUUCCUGUAACAAUUAAAAAAUAUAUGCAAAUGGUUGUUAGAUGAUAUGCAUGCAUCCUUACCUGAUUUGAAAUAUAGGUCCCCCUCUUUGAUGCUCCAUCGUCAUAGGGUGCCCUUGUUUAUCCCAAAGCUUUCUUUGUUCUUCCGAUGCAUUGGCUCAUUCAUGUGCUAGCCAUCCACUCAGUGUAAAUGCAGUGCCCAUCCCGGGCUGUCUUCGACAAUUACUGCUCGCAUCGCUCAUCAAGCUUGACAAUGCCCCCAAGUGUGGUGAUGCUUGAUUCAUCAUGAAGAUUUUCUCUCUUGGAUUCUUCUGAGAAUUAUCCUCUGAUUGAUUGUGUGCAUCAUGCAACACCCAUCAAGAUUGUUAAUCAGUCAUGAACUUGCCUUCGGUUGAAACACCAUUCAAGUAUGUAUGGUCACCAGCCUUCAUGGAACUGCCAAGUCAUCCAGACAUGGAUCUCAUGCUUUGCAGUAAACAGCUCAUCAUUGUAAGCGCGAUGUAUUUCUCUAUGGAUUCCUCUUAGCUUGUCAAAUCAGAUCGUGAAAAUAACUGCUUUGGCAUCAUCAAUGAUGUUCAUGUUAUCACCCAUAUUCAUGCGGUGAAGUGUGCAUUUGAGCUUCAAAAGAUGGUCCCACAGUCAAUCUUGGUGGUGCAUAUUCCAGCAUUCAUGCACAUGCAACUAUGUGAUAACAUCGUAAAAUCAUAACCAUGUUGAAGAUAACCAAGAUGAAGAUAUGAAAAUAUCCUUCUAAGUGCAGCGUUGCUCAUCAAUUGCUGCUGAAGUGCACUAGAUCAUGGAUUGUCUUUGAACAACAUUGCCCCUAAUGAUCUGAGCAGCUCAUUCUUCUGUCUAUACUCAAAUGGCUUUUGUGAUUGCAAGAAUAACUUUGAUGAACUUUGACGACUCAUCAUCUGAUUCUUUCUUUGCCCCCAGCUGAUUAGAAUUGUUUGUUUUCUUCUAAGGGUCCACUGUAUUGCCCCCAGGUGGUCAACGUUUCAAGGAGUGUCGAGAAAUGUUGAUGUCAUUUUUGUCAAGAUUUUGCAAACUCAAUUGAUGUUCUUGUUUGAAAAUCUUUCUUGUUCUGGAAUCAAAUCUCAAUUUCAACGAUCAUGUCUAUUCAAGUCUAAUUGUUGAAAUGAAAUCAGAGAGAUGUCUGUUUUUGAAAAUUUUUUUUGAAAUUCAAACUUCUUUGGUCAAAGACCCAACACACUAUUCAAUGCAGUCCUUUGAUUGUCUUGUAUUUUGAAAACAGAAAUGACCCGUUGUAAGAUUUAAAAUGACUUUUUCAUGGUUCUUUGUGUCCACUUUAAACUCUGAUUUUGGGUAUAUCUUUUGAUGGUCUGUGAUGAGGUGAUAUUUUUAUGAAUUUCAAAACAAGAUGCUCAGGCUUUAUCAAGAAAGGUUGUUUCUUUUCUAGCAUUUUAUUUUAUCAGCAUGCAUAAUAACCAGUAGCUUAAUUCAUGAAGUCACGACCUUAUGGAAAAACUCUUCAAGUUUUGAGAGCGCCAUUUAUCGGUUCAAUUGCUUGCUUGAUUAAAAAGGGCUUUUAAAAGCACGUAAUGCAGGCUAUGGUUCAUGGCUAUGAAAGAAAAGAAUUUCAAGGCUCAAAAGGUGUUUGAGGGUUUCAACGACCUAGGACAACAUUAAUAUUCAUCGAUUCUCUUUCUCUUGUCGUCAUUGUAGAGAAUGACAUAUAACCUUGUUAAUCUCAAAUAUCAAAUUCUCUUAACAUAGGUCAUAAUGCAAAUCCAACUUUUCUUUGAUGAAUAACCAAUCUAAAAUUUGAAGACAUUAGAGGCUUUAUCCUAGACACACACACAAAAGAUAUGAAGCAUCGAUUUUUCUAGUGUUGACUUUUGGCAUUUAUUGUCUUUUCUCAAUUGAAAAUUGUCUUGCCUCUCUUAGAAUUGAGGCAUUUUCUUUCAUUUCCUCAAAGUUUUUCUUGGAUGGCCCUCAAUCUAUGGAUUUUCUUCUUCUAGCCCUUUCUCAAACAUUGGACUUUUGUUCUAAGCUUUUCUUUGAUCCAUUGAUUUUAUCGUGUCUCCAAAAUAUUUCUCAUUUGCCCCCAGUGUGGGGUGUGAUCCUAGUCAGGGUUUUUGAAAAAAAUAUUCUAUCCAGCUCAAAAUGGGACUACAAGGGAUAUAAUUUUAGAAAGUGAAGGAUAUCAAAGAUGGCCUUUUCUCAUUUCAAGCAAGGUCGGUUAGAACCGAUAAAUUUUGACCUCAUCUAGUGUAAUGAUUUGUAAGAAGAAUCAUGAUUCACGAGUCCAUAACUAUUGAAUCCACUACAUGUCAUUAUGCAUACUGCUAAAACUUAGCUAUAUGAUGUGUGGUUCAGUUUCAAAAGGUAUGAGUUCAAAAUUGUUUGGUCACCUCAUGUCAUUUCAACAUAGAGUCAUUUCUGUAAUCAAAACACUUUUAAUCUUCAGGAUUGAUUAACCUUUAUCGCAUGUUGGAGUUUGAUCAAAAUAUUUUGUCAGAAUAAAAUGUAAACAUCUGUUGAUUUCAAAACAACAAAGAGACAAAAGCAAGGCAUGUUUCGUUGAAGGAUGAGAUGUGAUCCCAAAACAAAAUGCAGAAUUCCAAACAAUAUGAUUGACUGUUCAUCACCAUUCUUGAAUCAGCUUUUCUGGCAAUAUUUGUUUUGCAAAGCAUUUCGAUCACAUGUCAUUCUGAAGUGUUCGGGGACAAUAUAGCCAGUGACACCCUCUUCACGACUCCACUUGUCUCUUGCUCACCAACUUUCAGACUCAAUUCUUGCAAUUCUUGAAACUGUUCACUUGAAAUGGUUGAGGACCCACCAUGACAUCACAUCUCUUAUCUGGAUUAUACCACCUAGAAAUUGGUGGUUGCAUGGGAUUUGUCGGAGUCAAGCAAAAUUCUGGAAUCUGGCAGAUGCUGGUCGACAAACUUAAACAGAGGAAUGUCCCAUCUUGGCAAAGACAUUUGAGCAAUUGAUGCUACCGUGAGACCUGGCUAUACCACAUAAUUAAGGGUUCACACCGUCAAAGUCAUCUCCUGAUUCACCUCUCAUCAUUGUUCUGAAUCCAUGGCAGAUCCUUCAAUCUUUCCUCUUCAUAGCUUGUUCAAUUCUUCGGCAAAUCCUCACAACAUCAUUUCAAUCUUCCAAUGUUGUUGUGGUUGGUUGAGGAUUGUUAGAAAACUUUCCAACAGCUUGGUAAUCUUGGUACGCCAGCGCCCAGAAACUUGUAGUAUCGCCACUACCGACAUGUGGAAUCAUGCCUUAUCUCUUCUAUGGAGAAAAUGAUGAACAUGAAUCUCCUCUAUUUCCUCUUCGAUUCUUCUUGAACGAUGCAGCAAACAAAGCACCAUAGAGGGAGUUCUGCUCUGUUGAAGUUUCAGUCUUCUUCAUGUUUUUCAGUCUAGGCAUGUCUCUUCUUCUACUUUUGCAUUUUAAUACUGACACUGUUGAGGAAAAUCAUAGAUGAUCUGAAACUACUGUAUUCCUUCUUGGAUUUCCCACUUGCGGAUCCACAAACAGAUUCCUGCCGAGAGAGCUCUGCUACGUUGAAGUUUGAUGUCUGCUUGUAUUUUCAGACCAGGUCUGGCUCUUCAACCUACUAAGAUGUCUUCGUGCUGAAACUGAUGAGAGAAAUAUUUGUAGCAUAUGCAACUUAUAAAUCCCCUCUUGCAUUCCCAAUUUGCAGAGCCAUAAAUGGAUUUUUAGAGAGAGCUCUGCCACAUUGAAGUUCAGUGUUAAUCAUGGUUUUUCAGACCAUCUUGUGCUGCUGAACUGGAAUUGAGCUCGUAAUUGGGGUAACUUCAAAGCAGACUAAUGCACCAUGAACAGGAGGCUAGUGUCGUUUGGUUCCAUUAGAUGAUGUGGAGGCGAUGAACACUUAACAGUGCAACUGGACAAGAAUCAGAGUUGUCAUUAGUUGAUGACUGAAGGCAUUGUUGUUGUUCAUGACGAAAAGGAGAGAUACAGCUUCAAUUGGACGUGAACAAGCAGUGUUCCCACAGAAACUGUGCAGACAUUCUCUUUCCAUUUGAUGCUCAACACUUGUUUGAGCAGAUCUGAGUCUAGCUAUUUCACCUCUGACGCUCUCAACCUUAAUCUGAUAAUGAGCCUAUAUCUUACUCCUUUAUUCACUUCCAUCAUUUUUCUCCAAUCUCGUGCAGUACAGCUUGUGUGGGGGACCUACCUUUCAGCCCGGUACGUGCAUGAUAAAUGUAUGAACAUGUAGUCUAUAUGAUGAACUCACCCUUCGAGAGGUGACAAUAUGGUCGUAACUCUUGUAUGAUGGACAAGAAUCGUGAUUUUUGCCCAAACUCUACAAUGAAAAUUUUCGGACCAACGGCCAAUGUGUCACCCACAAGUCUUGAGUUCAAGAUACUUCAAGAAGGGUUUGCCCUUAUGCAAAAAACGAUAGCACAUACAACCUAAGGACAGGUUCUAUUCAUUAUGUGAACAUGGGUAGGUUUUUUAUCUGGUCUCAAAAGGGUCUCAUAUCUGCCUAGUGACGUUCUUGUCAAAGACAGUAUGGGGGCGUUGCAAAGAAUGGUUAAGGCACGUAUACCCACCAUUACCAAGCAGGCACUCAGAUAUGAGUUGGGUGUUUCACGCAUGUGAACCCUGACCAAUAGUCUUAGGGCAGAUCGCUAGUUCCCCACCUAACCUAGAAGCUUGUGUGUGCUUUUAAAAAUAAAUACAGGUGAUGCAUGAGACAAUUCUAUAAAAUGCAUGGAAAUAAAUAUUAACAAAAAGAUAAAAAUGCAAAAAAUUAAACACAUCAAAUACACAAAGCUUAGUCCAAUAAUAUCAAAAACAGUACCGUCCCCAGUGGAGUCGCCAUUCUGUCGCACCCAAAAAAAAAAUCAGCGCGCGGCAUCGGCUGGCAAUUUUUUUUAUCGUUGUUGCGUUUCCAAUUUCCAAGGUAUUAGCACCCCUAACGCACCCUACCUGAGGUAAGCUGCUUCGUGGCUUUGACGUGUUAAAGAAGUUUUAAAAUUUUGUCUUUUCAUCGGAAAUUGGAAAUAUCACUUACAUAUAAGUUAAUAAUUCUUAACCGCGAUCCAAUCAAAAUAUUAAAUUCUUCUUUAAUAUAUUUGCAAUUUUAUCAUUAAAAAAAAUAUAUAUAAAUAAAUAAAACAAAAUACAAACACACACAUACACCACCACUAUUUUAUUUUUGUUUCCUUUCUUUUCUUUUUCUUUUCUUUUACAUCCACAAUACAAAUACAAAUACAAAUACAAAUUCAAAUUCAAAAUAAAUAAAUAAAAAUACACCAACACACAUCCCCUUUUUUAUUAUUAUUUUCUUUUCUUUUCUUUUCUUUUUUUUUUUACAUUCACAUAUUACAAAUUUAAAAUAAAUAAACAAAAAUUACAUUAAAACUUUAAAAUUUACAAAAUGGUCCCUCAAAACUCCCGAAAUUGCAGGGAAGGACGGCUGCACCCGCAUGAACAGUUCCGGCGCGUCUUCCCACGCGCUGCCCAGAAAUUCAGGCGGCAUGAGGGGGCUGCAAUGGCUUCCUCCCCUCUUCAAUAUCUUGUUGUCCGUCACCUGCAAAUCCAAAAAAAAAACAGCAAGGGCAGUCGAUUUUAAGUUUUUUUUCUUAGUUUUUUUUUUCAAAUCUGUUUUUUUGUUCUUUCUUUUCAGAUCUGCAGUUUUUUUCUUCUUGUCCGAUCUGCUUUCUCCUUCUCUGUUUCAGGUGGCUGGAUUUGUAGAUGUGCUUCGGUCAACGGUUGCACAGCUGCUGGUGAUUCUGCCGGCGUUCGGCGAGCCGGCCGCUGCUACUGGAGGCCGAAUGCAGGGGAGGACUUGCGUUGUGUGGCCGGCGGCUGUUCUGUGAGAAGGAGAAAAAUGAGCAGCCGAGAGAGGGGCUGUGGGAGGCUGAGCAAAGGCUGAGGCUGGCUGGUGAGAAGAGAAGAAAAUUAAUUACAAAGGGUGGGGGCGUCCGGCUGAAGGUAGAAGGAAACGAAUCUGGAGGGGGGGGCUGUCUUUGGGUUUCUCUAGAUGUCGGCUAUGUUGGGGAAGCUGUGGCUGUUCCGAUUAGAGGAGUCUGUGUGGAGGAAAAGAAAAACAAAAUUCAAGGCAGGGAGGAGAGUGCAGGUGGCGGCUGACUUGGUGUUGAUGAGAGGAAGAUCGGCGUUGUGGGGGUGCUGGUUUGGGGAAGAAAAGAAAAUGAAAACGGGGAGGGGGCUGUUCGGUUUGGGAGAAGAAGCUGGAAAUGUGCAAACAAAAGGGGGUCUUUUCGUGUCUUCUCUGGUGGUCUUUUUGACCAAGAAAAUGGGAAAGCUUUGGGCGGCUUGUGGGUUUUAUUUCUCUCCGGUAGUCUUUCUCCAAGCCAAGGGAGGAGGUCUGUGGCUUUUUCCUUUUCUUUUUUUUUUUUUGCAGAGGGGGAAUCGGUUGGAAGGAGAAAAUGGGGGACCGGCUUCUGUGUGGCAGGUCUUGGCCGGGUGACUUUUAGUGCUCCCUAGUUCUUGGUGUUGAAGACCGCCGGCUUGUUUUUGUUCCAGGAGAGGGAGAGUUUUUUUUU
rnacentral:lncRNA from 1 species